rnacentral:rRNA from 1 species
GAUGAACGCUGGCGGCGUGCCUAAUACAUGCAAGUCGAGCGAACAGACGAGGAGCUUGCUCCUCUGACGUUAGCGGCGGACGGGUGAGUAACACGUGGAUAACCUACCUAUAAGACUGGGAUAACUUCGGGAAACCGGAGCUAAUACCGGAUAAUAUAUUGAACCGCAUGGUUCAAUAGUGAAAGACGGUUUUGCUGUCACUUAUAGAUGGAUCCGCGCCGCAUUAGCUAGUUGGUAAGGUAACGGCUUACCAAGGCAACGAUGCGUAGCCGACCUGAGAGGGUGAUCGGCCACACUGGAACUGAGACACGAUCCAGACUCCUACGGGAGGCAGCAGUAGGGAAUCUUCCGCAAUGGGCGUAAGCCUGACGGAGCAACGCCGCGUGAGUGAUGAAGGUCUUCGGAUCGUAAAACUCUGUUAUUAGGGAAGAACAAAUGUGUAAGUAACUAUGCACGUCUUGACGGUACCUAAUCAGAAAGCCACGGCUAACUACGUG